rnacentral:rRNA from 1 species
AGAGGAGCCAAGCGUUGUCCGGAUUGACUGGGCGUAAAGCGCACGCAGGCGGACGCGCGCGUGGGGUGUGAAAUCUGGCCGCUUAACGGCCAGGCGCCMUCCCAUACGGCGCGUCUGGAGCAAUGCAGAGGUCGGUGGAAUUGCCGGUGUAGUGGUGAAAUGCGUAGAUAUCGGGAGGAACACCAGUGGCGAAGGCGGCUCUCUGGGCCUUACYUGACGCUGAGACGCGAAAGCGUGGGGAGCGAACCGGAUUAGAUACCCGGGUAGUCCACGCCGUAAACUAUGGACACUAGGUGUGGGGGGUAUCGACCCCCUCCGUGCCGCAGCUAACGCAAUAAGUGUCCCGCCUGGGGAGUACGGCCGCAAGGCUA